CUGGUCUCAAAUUCCUGGGCUCAAGUGAUCCUUCUACUUAGGGAUCCCAAAGAGCUGGGAUCACAGGCGUGAGCCACCGCACCUGACCACACAAAGAGUUUUGAACCAGGAAGGAACCUGGAGAAAUUAUGCAGCAGUGGACAAGGUGCUGUUUAUAAACCAGCCCAGCUUUGGCUCAGGACAAGCCACCCAUCUCCAGGGGCUGGCGUGUGUGCCUCUGCUGACCGCAGCUGCUGACCUGUCUCCUGUACACUCUGGAUGCUGUGAUGCCCAGACAGCAAAACUUCUUUUCAGGCUCCCCAAGAAGGCAGGGACCCCAGUUCUCUCAAGAGCUAACAUUAGAGCAAAUCAGUCUCAAGAGGGAGUCCCAGAAUCAAGAGGAAAUAUGGGCUUGCUCCUUGAUCCUGGAGUAGAGCACAUCUUCCCUGCCUGCAUGGCCAUGCUGUGAAUCUGCAGCUCAGAAGUUGGUCUCCCUAAUGCCACACUCUGGAACCAUGUCAGCCACAUGAUUGUGGCUUCCCGAGGCCACGGCGUGUGCACUCUGCCUGUUCAUGUUGUGUUUUCCUGGUGACUCCUUCCUUUGCUAUUCAGUAAUAAGGCUGAUCUGCCAUAGCAACGCCCACAGCCAAUGGCACCUGCACAGUGCG
rnacentral:lncRNA from 10 species